GACGUAGGGCGCAAGCGUUGUCCGGAUUUAUUGGGCGUAAAGAGCUCGUAGGCGGUCUGUCGCGUCUGCCGUGAAAGUCCGGGGCUCAACUCCGGAUCUGCGGUGGGUACGGGCAGACUAGAGUGAUGUAGGGGAGACUGGAAUUCCUGGUGUAGCGGUGAAAUGCGCAGAUAUCAGGAGGAACACCGAUGGCGAAGGCAGGUCUCUGGGCAUUAACUGACGCUGAGGAGCGAAAGCAUGGGGAGCGAACAGG
rnacentral:rRNA from 1 species